GUGUGAUUCUGGACAUGCCACUCAACCUUUCUCCAGGCUUAAGUGAAGUUAAUGUUUUUCCUCCCACUGACUCACGAUGGUGCCUUGGGGACAGAAGAAAUGAAUGUUAGAAAGUCCAGUGCAAAUUUCUAAAAUGCCACAGGAAAAAUCAGAACAAAAAUGAAAAGAAGAAAGAUGAAAAUACACUACAAUGUCACGGUCAUUUGCACCAGUUUCCUGUGUACAGCUCUGCUGCUCUACGCUCAUUUCUCAAUCAGGUUUUGUCUCUCUUUUUUGCAUUAAAAGCUGAGAGAGGAGCUAAAACUGCCCUGAGAAGCUCCCCCGGGACCCUGCCUGAUCAUCAGGGGAAUGGGGCCUACCUCAGCAGUCUACUUUCUUCAUUCAGCCCUAUAGCCUCAGGAGAGAAGUUUGUCUCGCUCAGAGGAAGCAGUGGCCGCUCUGUCCCAUACCCUGUCAGGCCAUUUCCCAUAGGAGACUGGACCUAGGGUGUGUGCUCAGGGUCCCAGUUUCUGCGGCGUUGAGCGGGUCCGGUACUCCUUUCCACACCAGGCUGAACCCCAAGGAAGCGAAUCCAUGUCCUCGUGGAAGAAUAGGCCCCAAAGUGCCAAGCAUCAGCCCCGUCAGUGCUGCCUGGAGAGCCGCCUGUGUCCUGCAGAACUUACACCCAUGCAAGAGUGCACCCACUCAGCAAAUGCGGGACACCGUCAGGAAGAACAAGACAUCCUUGCUUCAGCUUCCCUCCUGUCACCUUUCCACUUCCCUUUGGGGAAGGUGUGCCUGGGUUUGCACACGGACUGGGGCCCCAUCCCUGUUCCCCGCUGUGUGUGGCAGGGCAAGGGAAUGCAUUUUUAAAUACCUUUCAGGCUAGGAUUCCUUUUUUUUUUUUGAUGGCAUACUCUAACUCCAACAUUUCUUCUGUAAGUAUCACCAGUUAUUUUACUAAAAUCUAGAUUUCCCAAUCCAAGUGUUAGGAAGGUACUAUGCUGCUGCUGCUUUGGGGCUUUCUGUCUGGCAACAUCUAUAAACAGUGCAAUAGUGACUGUAGUCAGUUUCACGGUCUCAUGUCUGAAUCUUUUUUUUUUUUUUUUUGACAGAGUCCCACUCUGUCUUAGCCUCCCAAGUAGCUGGGAUUACAGGCGCCUGCCUCCACGCCCAGCUAAUUUUUUAUUUUUAGUAGAGAGGGG
rnacentral:lncRNA from 1 species